rnacentral:lncRNA from 1 species
CUUUCUACUGGGCCCACCCAUAACCACAGCCAUACUCUGGACCUGGUUAUUACCAAGGGGCUUUCUACUGUGCCCACCCAUAACCACAGCCAUACUCUGGACCUGGUUAUUACCAAGGGGCUUUCUACUGGGCCCACCCAUAACCACAGCCAUACCCUCGACCUGGUUAUUACCAAGGGGCUUUCUACUGGGUCCACCCAUAACCACAGCCAUACUCUGGACCUGGUUAUUACCAAGGGGCUUUCAACUGGGCCCACCCAUAACCACAGCCAUACUCUGGACCUGGUUAUUACCAAGGGGCUUUCUACUGUACCCACCCAUAACCACAGCGGCACUAGAGACCUGGUUAUUACCAAGGGGCUUUCUACUGGGUCCCCAUGUCACCACAGCCAAACUAUAGACCUGAUUAUUACCAAGGGGCUUUAUACUGGGCCCACCCAGAACCGCAGCCAUACUCUGGACCUGGUUAUUGCCAAGGGGCUUUCUACUGUACCCACCCAUAACCAAACCAAUACUCUGGGCCUGGUUAUUACCAAGGGGCUUUCAACUGGGCCCACCCAUAACCACAGCCAUACUUUGGACCUGGUUUUUACCAAGGGGCUUUCUACUGGGCCCAACCACAACCACAGCCAUACUAUGGACCUGGUUAUUACCAGAGGGGCUUUCUACUGGGCCCACCCAUAACCACAGCCAUACUCUGGACCUGGUUAUUGCCAAGGGGCUUUCUACUGGGCCCACCCAUAACCACAGCCAUACUCUGGACUGGUUAUUACCAAGGGGCUUUCUACUGGCCCACCCAUAACCACAGCCGUACUCUGGACCUGGUUAUUACCAAGGGGCUUUCUACUGGGCCCACCCAUAACCACAGCCAUACUCUGGACUGGUUAUUACCAAGGGGCUUUCUACUGGCCCACCCAUAACCACAGCCGUACUCUGGACCUGGUUAUUACCAAGGGGCUUUCUACUGGGCCCACCCAUAACCACAGCCAUACUCUGGACCUGGUUAUUACCAAGGGGCUUUCUACUGGCCCACCCAUAACCAAGGGGCUUUCUACUGGGUCCACUAUAGACCUGAUUUCUACUGGGCCCACCCAUAACCACAGCCAUACUCUGGACUGGUUAUUACCAAGGGGCUUUCUACUGGCCCACCCAUAACCACAGCCAUACUCUGGACUGGUUAUUACCAAGGGGCUUUCUACUGGGUCCACUAUAGACCUGAUUUCUACUGGGCCCACCCAUAACCACAGCCAUACUCUGGACCUGGUUAUUACCAAGGGGCUUUCUACUGGGCCCACCCAUAACCACAGCCAUACUCUGGACUGGUUAUUACCAAGGGGCUUUCUACUGGGCCCACCCAUAACCACAGCCAUACUCUGGACCUGGUUAUUACCAAGGGGCUUUCUACUGGGCCCACCCAUAACCACAGCCAUACUCUGGACUGGUUAUUACCAAGGGGAUUUCUACUGGGCCCACCCAUAACCACAGCCAUACUCUGGACUGGUUAUUACCAAGGGGCUUUCUACUGGUCCCACCCAUAACCACAGCCAUACUCUGGACUGGUUAUUACCAAGGGGCUUUCUACUGACAUAUCCUGUAUUGUUGUUGCUUUAUCUGAUCACCACUGGGGAUUUAUACUACCUUGUUGCCCAUAGAACAGGGUAAUACUGAACACAUUAUUAAGAAACACUAUCUGACCUCUGAAGUUGCUACAGAUUUUAUUGAGUUAAUGAACACCACCUAUAUUCCACCACCUGUUCUGCCUUCCUCUUGUGGUGAUUUAGUUGAUAACUUUAAUAGCAAAUUAAGGGCAACCAUUGAUGCCAUAGAUCCAGUAACGUUGAAAAAGGACACAUCCAAACGGAGAGGCCCUUGGAUGACUGAGGAAACUAAUAAAUUAAAGAGAAAUUGCAGAAAGACGGAGUGGAAUUGGAUGAAGUCAAAGUUGCAGGUCCAUUAUGAUAUUCUGAGAGAGCAUCAUAUAUAACAAGGCCAUUAGAAAUGAGAGAGCAUCAUAUAUAACAAGGCCAUUAGAAAUGAGAGAGCAUCAUAUAUUACAAGGCCAUUAGAAAUGAGAGAGCAUCAUAUAUUACAAGGCCAUUAGAAAUGCCAGAUGGGCUCAUUUUACUAACUUGAUCACCAAUAAUCAGAAUAAUUAGAGAGUGCUCUUCUCCACCAUUGAUGGCCUGAUAAAUCCUACCUCCGCAAACCUAUGUGAACUUUCCUCUACAUGUAAAUGUGAUGAGUUUACAGCAUAUUUCAGAGAUAAGAUAUCCAACAUUAGACUGGGUAUCAGUCAAGACCUGAUGAGAAGUCUGAUGAUAUGUGCACUAGCCUACCACACAAAGGCACUAUGGAUUUAUUUUCCCUGGUUGACACAGACAUGGUCAGGAAAGUGACAUCACAACUUGACCUUCCACCUGCCUUCUCCAUCCUAUCCCCACCACCUUCUUCAAAACAGUUUUUAAUGGCAUAUCUGAAGAAGUGCAAGCUAUUGUUAAUCACUCCCUGUUUAUGGGAACUUUCCCCACUGCACUAAAAACUGAUAUGGUGAAACCCCUUCUGAAGAAAAGGAUUCUAGAUUCUUCAGCUCUUAGAAGUUAUCAGUCUCCAACCUCUUAAGCAGAAUUCUAUUAGUUGGUGUUCCAACAGCUAAAUUAGAUUCUAGAUUCCUCAGCUCUUAGAAGUUAUCAGUCUCCAACCUCUUAAGCAGAAUUCUAUUAGUUGGUGUUCCAACAGCUAAAUUAGAUUCUAGAUUCCUCAGCUCUUAGAAGUUAUCAGUCUCCAACCUCUUAAGCAGAAUUCUAUUAGUUGGUGUUCCAACAGCUAAAUUAUUACCUCAAAUGAAGUUAGAGCACUGAUUAUGCUUUUGAAUCCCAAGGAGCACCAUUUUGUUUCUCUCCGUCACCCACGCUCACUUUAAACAUUUGGAUGAUAGUUAUAUAAAAGACAUAAUUAUAUCACAGACCCGAUUUGCCCUAACGGAAAAUGACAUGAAAAGCACACAUUUGUAAAUCCCAAACUCUAAAAGUAAUUGUAAAGGUAGAUGCAAAUGAUUUGUGACAUUGUGGUUUCAAUAAAGAAUGUAAACAAGAUGCUGUGUUUUUAUUUACAGUAAUGAUGGACAACUGGAGUCAUUUUGAAAAGUUUUUCACAAGUGUACUGUAGUACUGCAGCAGGUGUAGUACUGUAGUACUGUAAUACUGUAGCAGGUGUAGUACUGUAGUACUGUAGCAGGUGUAGUACUGUAGUACUGUAGCAGGUGUAGUACUGUAGUACUGUAGCAGGUGUAGUACUGUAGUACUGUGGUACUGUAGCAGGUGUAGUGCUGUAGUACUGUAGCAGGUGUAGUACUGUAGUACUGUAGCAGGUGUAGUACUGUAGUAUGUGUAGUACUGUAGCAGGUGUAGUGCUGUAGUACCGUAGCAGGAAUAGUACUGUAGUAGGUGUAGAACUGUAGUGCUGUAGUACUGUAGCUGGUGUAGUGCUGUAGUACUGUAGCAGGUGUAGUACUGUAGUACUGUAGCAGGUGUAGUACUGUGGUACUGUAGCAGGUGUAGUACUGUAGCAGGUGUAGUACUGUGGUACUGUAGCAGGUGUAGUACUGUAGCAGGUGUAGUACUGUAGCAGGUGUAGUACUGUAGCAGGUGUAGUCCAUCAAACAAUGUUUCCUAUUAGCAGGACAAUAGACUCUUCAUAGCCCAACUGUUGUAAUUGUGAAAAUCCCCAAAUUUGC